rnacentral:misc_RNA from 1 species
UUUCCGUAGGUGAACCUGCGGAAGGAUCAUUAAAAAAUUGGACUCCAUUGGUGAGUUCAUUAAUAAUCCCUACCCUUUGUGAAUUUGUUUGUUUGAAUAAUUUUUUUUCCAAAAAAAAUUAUUGAAUGUCUUUCCCUGUUUUGGUGGAGCUUGUAAAGUGAAACCAGGCAGGGGAAUGGCAAACAAUAAUUAUUUUUGAAAAAAGACCUUUUUUUAAAAUUAAACUUUUUGUAUUCAUUUGUCUAAAAUUAUUUUUAUAAUAUAAAAACAACUUUUGACAAUGGAUCUCUUGGUUCUCGCAACGAUGAAGAACGCAGCAAAAUGCGAUAAGUAGUGUGAAUUGCAGAAUACGUGAAUCAUCGAAUCUUCGAACGCAUAUUGCACUUUUUUAGUUUACUAAAAAAGUAUGUCUGUUUGAGUAUCAGUAAAAUGUUCUCAUAAAAAACAUUGUUUUUUUAUGGUUAUGAGUGUUUUACAACGAUAACAAGUUGUUUCACUUUAAAUUCUUUGUUAUCAAAAAAAUCAUUAAAAGCUAAUUUUAAAGAUUUUUUAAAAUUGGAUAAAAUUUUCCCGUAAAAAGGAAUAACCUAAACAAUUUUAAAAAAUUAAAAUUGGUUUGAUUUUUUUUGAAACCCAAAGGAAAAAAAAAACGAAAUUAACUUGAUCUCAAAUCAGAUAAGAGUACCCGCUGAACUUAAGCAUAUCAAUAAGCGGAGGAAAAGAAACUAACUAGGAUUCCCUCAGUAACGGCGAGUGAAGCGGGAAGAGCUCAAAUUUGAAAUCUUCAAGGUUUUACCUUGACGAAUUGUAGUUUAAAGAAGUGUUUGCUGUUGGAGUUUUGGUAAAAGUUCUUUGGAAAAGGACAUCAUAGAGGGUGAGAAUCCCGUAUUUGACCAUUAUCUCCAGCUUUGUGAUACACUUUCAAAGAGUCGGAUUGUUUGGGAAUGCAGUCCAAAAUGGGUGGUAAAUUUCAUCUAAAGCUAAAUACUGGCGAGAGACCGAUAGCGAACAAGUACCGUGAGGGAAAGAUGAAAGAACUUUGAAAAGAGAGUUAAACAGUACGUGAAAUUGUCAAAAGGGAAGCGUUUGACACCAGUGUUGUUUUCUCGAAAAUCAAUUAAAAAAGGCCGGAUUUUGUGUUGUAUUGACUUUAUCAGCUUUCUGCACUUUUUUCUUGUCUUUUUUAAUGCACUUUUCGUUUAACAAGUCAACAUCAAUUUCUUUUGUUGUAAAAGGGUCAUUGGAAGGUGGCUUUCUUUUCGGAGAAAGUGUUUAUAGCCUUUGGACUCUGCAAUCGGAGAGAUUGAGGUCUGCAGCGUAGAUCCUUCUGGGAUUAGAUCAUUUGUGCUAAGUUAUAGCUUUUAUAGACAACUUGUUGACUAUGAUUCAGUCUGUAGCUUACUCGCUUAUGCAAUUUUACCUACGCUUAGGAUGUUG